rnacentral:rRNA from 1 species
GAUGAACGCUGGCGGUAUGCUUAACACAUGCAAGUCGAACGGGAUGCUUCGGCAUCUAGUGGCGGACGGGUGAGUAACGCGUGAGAAUCUGGCUUCAGGUUCGGGACAACAGUGGGAAACUGCUGCUAAUACCGGAUGUGCAGGAAUGUGAAAGAUUAAUUGCCUGAAGAUGAGCUCGCGUCUGAUUAGCUAGUUGGUGGGGUAAGAGCCCACCAAGGCGACGAUCAGUAABUGGUCUGAGAGGAUGACCAGUCACACUGGGAUUGAGACACGGCCCAGACUCCUACGGGAGGCAGCAGUGGGGAAUUUUCCGCAAUGGG